UGCCAAGUAGACUUUGAAGGUUGAGAGAGAUAAUUAGAAAAGAUGGACUUUGGUAAGUGAGGCAGACAUCUGUAGGCUUUCUGUCUGGACUGGGGAAAGAGCCUUGACUAUAAUGAAAGAGGAGUGAGACUAGAAGCUGAAGUAUUGGGUCUCUAAAUUGCUCAAGGGGAUGACAGGGGAUUGGGCAUCUCUUAACUGUACAAGAAAAGAAGCCUGCAAGCUUUCUGGAUACUUAAAGCAUCUUGAAGUUUUUUCCUGUCUCUUGGUGCUGUUAAUACACCUGAAAAUCUUUGAGAAUGAAUCCGGGAGCCAUCCUGAUACCUCUCAGCUGAGGAAUUGCUGCUACAGACAUUCUGCUUUUAAGAGAAUUCAAAACCUGGUGCUGCAUUUGACAACUCUCAGCCUCUGUAAGAUGUGUGUUGUUUUUUUAAGGCAAUCUGUUCCUACCCUUAAUUAG
rnacentral:lncRNA from 1 species